AUUGAACGCUGGCGGCAGGCCUAACACAUGCAAGUCGAGCGGUAGAGAGAAGCUUGCUUCUCUUGAGAGCGGCGGACGGGUGAGUAAUACCUAGGAAUCUGCCUGAUAGUGGGGGAUAACGUUCGGAAACGGACGCUAAUACCGCAUACGUCCUACGGGAGAAAGCAGGGGACCUUCGGGCCUUGCGCUAUAAGAUGAGCCUAGGUCGGAUUAGCUAGUUGGUGAGGUAAUGGCUCACCAAGGCUACGAUCCGUAACUGGUCUGAGAGGAUGAUCAGUCACACUGGAACUGAGACACGGUCCAGACUCCUACGGGAGGCAGCAGUGGGGAAUAUUGGACAAUGGGCGAAAGCCUGAUCCAGCCAUGCCGCGUGUGUGAAGAAGGUCUUCGGAUUGUAAAGCACUUUAAGUUGGGAGGAAGGGCAUUAACCGUAAUACGUUAGUGUACUUGACGUUACGACAGAAUAAGCACCGGCUAAAC
rnacentral:rRNA from 1 species